rnacentral:lncRNA from 1 species
GGAUUCUGCUGACUAAAUGCAGCGCUUUGAAUUCCCUCAUGUCUGCCUCUACUGCCAACCCACUCCUCUUCCUGGGCACUUUCAGAGUAGUAAAGGCAUCUUAAGUGACUAAAACACACCAGCCUCUCUCUCUUACUUUCAGAUCUUGGAUGAUGACGCUUUCCUGCUUUCCUCGCUUUCCUGCUUUCCUCGUGGCUUAAAGGUUCUCCCACUGAGCUACAUCCCCAGCCUCUGUACCCCCAACUCUUGAUUCUGUUUUGGAAGCCAUCGCCGGAUUUCUCUGUCCAGAACUCUGGCUCUAGCCUCGCUAACAGUGUCCGAGCUGGGAACCGGCGAUCUGGAAAUCUAGGUUCAGCACGCCCAGCACAAGCCCCUCACUGGACACAAGUUUCCCGGUGCUCGCCGCGUUCCCAGCCACCGCGUCAUCUGCCCGCUCGCCGCGUUCUAAUCGCUCUCAGACCCCUCCCUCACCGCUCUCCUCCCAAGGAAACUUGACCCUCGCCAGCCGCCGUCGCGAAGCCCCGACUUACUCGCUCGUUGUCCAGCUGCUCGCCAAGCUCAAACUCCGCACGCCGUUACCCGGGCUCGGGGGGCGGGGCUUCGGUACGACCCAGUGCGCCUGCGCAGACCGCCCCGCAAGGCUAAAGAGGAGGGGUGGGGAAGGAGCCCUGUGU